CGUCGCAUCAACAUAGAAGUCCACCACCUCCUACCCACAAAAUUUCACCUGUAACUCGUCACGCUCCACCUCCUCCACCUCCACCAAGUCCGGUAUAUUAUCACCACCCAUCACCACCACCUCCACAACCAGUAUAUUACGCGCCACCAACAUAUAAACCUCAAUCACCACCACCACCUCCACCACCAGUACAUUACGAGCCACCAACGUACACACCUCAAUCACCACCACCACCUCCACCAGUACAUUACGAGCCACCACCAUACACACCUCAAUCACCACCACCUCCACCAGUACAUUACGAACCACCAACGUACACACCUCAAUCGCCACCACCACCAGUAUAUGUGACACCGUCUUCACCACCACCACCAGUAUAUGAGCAUCCAAAACCUCCAACUCCAACUCCAUCACCACCAGCUGGGUACACACCUCCCCAGGAGCCAUCACAUCCUGCCCCACCUACCCCACCUUGUAACGAGACACCACCCCCACCACCUAGUACCCCACAUUGGCAACCAAAACCAUCUCCUCCCCCUAC
rnacentral:lncRNA from 1 species